CGCCUAUUAGCUAGCUCCACUCAUCAAACUCAACAAGUAAUCAUAAAUUAAACCCAAAAACACUAGACUAUCAAUAACCAAAGCAUUUUCCCCCCUUAGUAUGGGCGACAGAAAAGGG
rnacentral:rRNA from 1 species